rnacentral:snRNA from 1 species
AAAAAGGGCUUCUGCCGUGUGUGGCACGGGGGGGGGUCGUGCGCCACCCCCGCGGAAUCGACAUCAAGAGAUUUCGGAAGCACAAUUUUUGUGAGUGAGGGCUGCUGGUAACCGCUUGUUCUGGCACCCCG